UACGGGGGGGGGCAAGCGUUGUUCGGAAUUACUGGGCGUAAAGGGUUCGUAGGUGGCUUGCUAAGUCAGACGUGAAAUCCCUCAGCUUAACUGGGGAACUGCGUCUGAUACUGGCGAGCUUGAGUGCAGGAGAGGAACGCAGAAUUCCAGGUGUAGCGGUGAAAUGCGUAGAUAUCUGGAGGAAUACCGGUGGCGAAGGCGGCGUUCUGGACUGCAACUGACACUGAUGAACGAAAGCCAGGGGAGCAAACGGG
rnacentral:rRNA from 1 species